rnacentral:tRNA from 1 species
GAGGGUGUAGCUCAGUGGCAGAGCGUAUGCUUAGUAUGCACGAGGUCCUGGGUUCAAUCCUCAGUACUGCCA